rnacentral:rRNA from 1 species
UACGUAGGCAGCGAGCGUUGUUCGGAGUUACUGGGCGUAAAGCGUGCGUAGGCGGUUUUGUAAGUUUGGUGUGAAAUCUCCCGGCUCAACUGGGAGGGUGCGCCGAAAACUGCAAGGCUAGAGUGUGGGAGAGGUAGGCGGAAUUCCUGGUGUAGCGGUGAAAUGCGUAGAUAUCAGGAGGAACACCUGUGGUGUAGGCGGCUUACUGGACCAUGACUGACGCUGAGGCACGAAAGCGUGGGGAGCAAACAGG